rfam:Parcubacteria group bacterium CG2_30_36_38 cg2_3.0_scaffold_595_c, whole genome shotgun sequence.
GGGCUCGUAGUUCAGUGGUAGAACGCUGCAUUUGCAAUGCAGAAGUCGCCGGUUCGAAUCCGGCCGAGUCCA